rnacentral:rRNA from 1 species
UACGUAGGCAGCGAGCGUUGUUCGGAGUUACUGGGCGUAAAGGGUGUGUAGGCGGUCUUUUAAGUUUGGUGUGAAAUCUCCCGGCUUAACCGGGAGGGUGCGCCGAAUACUGAGGGACUAGAGUGCGGGAGAGGAAAGUGGAAUUCCUGGUGUAGCGGUGGAAUGCGCAGAUAUCAGGAAGAACACCCCGUGGCGAAGGCGGCUCUCUGGAACGCAACUGACGCUGAGACGCGAAAGCGUGGGGAGCAAACAGG